rnacentral:lncRNA from 1 species
GCCCUACCCAUACCUGCCCAUACCGGUCAACUCUUGCAUAACCAACCAGCUGAUGGCAUAAAUGCUAUUUACUCUCUGGGGACGCAUAAGACGGCCAGUGUCCACAGCUGGUGCUCCUAAGCCUGGCUGCUUUGACUUUCAGCUCCUAUAUUUGAAAUUUGUAUUUGACUCAUCUGGGUUUCUUUUUUGAGGCAUUGUUGGGGGAGGUAAUGAUGAGGCUAGGUAAGUGAAGGUGGAUUUGGCAACUGUUUAGUCAUGAUUUUAUCACAGCUGCCCAACCUCACUGUCAGUGUGAGUCUGCCAAGCAUUUCAGAUGUUAGUAAUGGGAGUGACUGAAAUUGGAAGCGAACUUCUAUAAACUAUUAUUUCCCUAUUUAGUUCUUUCUGGAUUGAUGACAGACUGCAUUGACUAGAAAUAGAUUGUGCAGGCAGGGGAAAAAAAAAAGCAAAAAAAAAAAAUUUUUUUUUGGUAUUAUAUCACUUGACCUGACUUUAA